AAGGUCGGGGCGGGGCAGGAGGAAGAGGGGAGGACGAUCCUGGUGGGGCGAAGGGCAAGCAGACCGACCAGGCUUGGUGCCCUUGUGAGGCUUACACGGGGUGCUCCAGGCAGCGUGUCAGGGACUGGCUUAGAAACCCGCGGGGUUGAGUGCUGGGUGUUGUAUGGAAACCAAUUUGACAAAAAAUUUCAUAUAUUUAAAAAAAAAAGAAAUGCAAAAACAAAAACAAAAACACACACACACAAGAAACCCGCAGAGAAGAGGAGGGGAAAACAGCGCAAAAGACAAAAGCAAAACCAGGUAGCUGGGAGAUGGUGGGAAAACACUGACUUUGACUGAAGGGUUGGCUUGGACGACUUGACCUCUCUGGGCUUCAGGAACUUCACCCCCCCCCACCCUCCCAGCGUGGCACCGGUAAAAAUCCCUCCCCGACAGCUACUCAGGGAAGAGGAAUCGGGUCUGAGUGUAGAAAGCAAAUAUUUAUUGAGAAUCUCCUCUGUGCCAGGUGCUGUUAUAGGUAACAGCAACACAGGGAUUAAUAAAAUAAGAGUUUUGCCUUUGAGAAACUUAUUUCCGCGUGUACUUGGCCAUGCUGACGAAGUGAGUGAGGAUAUAGAAACGAACUAAAAAAACAAACGUGUUGAAAGCCUGCUGUGUGACGGUCACCUUGUCCUGUGUUCUGUUACCUCAUUUUAACCUCGCGAGGACACUCCAAGGUGUUGUUCGCUUUACAAAGGAGGAAACUGGCCCAGAGACGCUCACCACGUUUGCCAAAACCACGCAGCUCGUACGGAGUUUAGGAUGUGAAAUCUCCCCAGACCUCCAAUCCUCUCUCCUUCUCCAUGGUUAGAAGCCAGCCAUCUGGAGUGUUCUCAUCUUUCCACAGCCAAACCGCAGACCUGUCCAUACCAGCAUCUAGCCUGUCCUUUCCCCUCUUGUUCAAUGGAGAAAGCGUGCUUCUCGGUAUCACACGGAUUCUGGAUCCCAGAACUUCUCUUGGAUCUGUUUGUAGGUUUGGCCUUGUCGGAGCAUGCCAACAGACAGCAGAAUCACCAGCUACAUUUUGCUAAGAGAGAUUGUGCCAAACUGAUGCACUUGACCGCCCGAGGAAACAACUCCCUGCUCUUCCAGGUUAACGAUCUCAAGUAGAUCAAUCAAUAUUGUCAGAGCCUGCGGUUGAAGUAAAUUUUACCCGGAUUCUGGCACAAGACACAGGAAAAGGAGACCAAGAAAGACAAGCUACAGGGGCCAUCCUCGGAACACAACUUCGCAAAGUGCUGGCUGGCAGCCUGGUCUCCAGAAGUCACGCUGACUUUAUCCUUUUAUGGGUAUAGAGAACGAUCCUUUUAUGGAUUGCCUCAGCCCCACUCCCCACGUCCUGCCAUCUUGAAUUCCUGGUCAGCAUUUGCCCUCCAGAGAAAGGUUGAACCUCCCGAGGCUGAGGUAACCCAUAGCUAGUCUGUGCUGUCCAGAAGAUGGCAUGGGAUCCCACAAAGGAGGUACAAUCUCACGCAGCCAAAGGAGUCUUUACGGAUGAAACCUGAACGGGACAGAGAGAGCUUUGACCUUCUGCGUAACACGUUUGAGUCAGCUGGUAGUUGAGUUCGGUUGGUUGGCUGUGUCUCAGAUGUCAGUAGGAGACGAAGCAAAGAUGUUCUGCUUGCUGAGGUUUUCCUUUCUCCAUGGACCAGAUGUUCUUUUGGAAAGAGCCUUGGAUUUGGAAUCGCAAAAACCUGGAUUUAAACCCUUUUCUGUCAUUUACCCUAGUGACCUCCCUAAGCCCAAUGCCCUCGCCUAACCAGUGAAAAUCUCACAGUCCCCAGCUGAUGAAGCAACCAGCUGACAAGCGUCUGGAUACGCCAGUAACUGCGACUUGAAACUACAUGUCACCCAGUGCUCUGGGGAAGGGUGGGAGACGUAGAGGUGGUGGUAACUCAGGCUGGCCUGGAGGUCCCUGCCCUGGGGGAGGCUCAAGUCCUCCGUGGUUUGUGACCCAGCCCGGGUGAGGCAGGAAGUAUGGGGCCUCCUCAGGCAGAGGGCCUGUCUCCCCAGUUCAAAUGUUGAGCACCUCCAUACCAGGGCCCCGUCUGCCUGCUCCCUCUGGUAGGGGCACAAUCUGUGUUUAAAGGAAGCAAGAAACACUACCGUUUUCCCCUUUUCCUUGUGGGGUCGCCCUGUGUGGAAUGAUGUCUUUGACAACAUAGAGCUUGUCACGGUUGACAAACCACUUUCCUACCUGUUAUUCUGGAGACCACCUGCCACCCAGGAAGUCUCUCCUCCUCCCCACUGCUGACACCUAAGGGGUCACCAAGUCUGGCCAAUUCUUCCCUUUAUAGUCGAACUCGUCUGUCCUUCUGCACCUUCCCCACUGCCAUCACCUAGAUGCAGGCCUCUGUCACUUCCUCCCCCGACGGCUCCGUACCUGCCCUCCUCACUUCCCAGCUUGCCCUGUGCUAAGCCCCCUUUCUAUCCAAGAGUCAGAAAGAUCUCUCUAUCUCUCUUUUUUUAAGUGCAUUCAUUUAUUUUGAGAGAGAGAGAGAGCACAAGCCAGGGAGGGGCAAAGAGAGAGGGAGAGAGAGAAUCCCAAGCAGGCUCUGCGCUUUCAGGGCAGAGCCUGAUGCAGAGCUCGAACUCAUGAACCGUGAGAUUAUGACCUGAGCCGAAACCAAGAGUCAGAUGCUUAACUGACUGUGCCCCCCAGGUGGCCCCAGAGAGAUGGCUCUUAAAUAAAACUCUGCUCAUUUCUCUCCUGUUGCCUUAGCACCAAGUCAGCCCCUGCACAGGACCUGAGCCACCUGCCCCCCCCCCCCCAAUCCUGUCCUUAUCUCCUCAGACCCACUUGUCCUCCCCCUGCCUGCCUGGCCAGGGGUGACCCAUGAGGCCACGUGCCUGAAUCACCUGGCAGGGGAAACAGGGACCUGGAGGCACAUUUCAUCCCUCCCUUCAUGUCAUCCCCUUGUCCGCACACGCACGUCUGUCCCGCCUGGUGAUGUCACGGGCCCGGGUACAUGUGCAGUAGCUCGCACCAGGGCUCCAAGGCGGGGGCGGGGUGUAGAGUGAUGAACGCCCGGUCUCACUUCAGAGAGAUGAUGACAGCAUGAAGGAAGGUGAGGCAAGACUUGGCACAAGGCACAGUGGGGACGCAGAGUCCCCAGAGCCUCCUGACUGAGAAAUAUGAACACGCAAACUUGGGUAAAUAAUGUCACUCUUAUCUACCAUAGCACUUGCUAAAUAAGAUACUUACGUGGUACUCUCUUCAUGCUGGACACCGUUGUAAGCAGCCUACGUGCACUUACUUGAUUUAUCUGAUGAGUUAUCCCCACGACAACUCACUUUACAGACAAGAAAAACAAAAACAAAAACCCUGAGGCACAGAGAAGUUAAGUAACUUUCCUAAAGCAACACAGCUUGUAAGUAGUAAAGCCAAGAUUUGGCUCCUGAGUCUGUGCUCUUAACCCCCAUGCCCUUUUGUCAGCCUGUAAAAGUCAGGCCUGCCCCCCUGCCCCGGGGGAGCGCUGUCCUCCUGCGGCCCCUCACUCACCCGGGCGUGACAAGUGUCUGUAGAAUCUCCAGCCCAGAGGCCUCACCUCGCUCUGCUGUCAUUUAUUAUUUCAUCGCUGUGAGGCCUCAUCCUGUUUCUCAGCUGGGUUUUGAUCUCCCCAUUGCGGGGGGAGCAAACCGGAAGAAGAUUCCUGUGAGGCACCGCACCGCAGCAUUCCCAGGAAUCAAAACUGAGGGUGUCUAUCCGCGGAAACACUCCUGUAGGAGAAGGGUCGGUCUGAGGGUGCCCCGGGGGGCACUCCCCAGGCCUCGGUGGGCACACUGGGUCCGCGGCGCCACAGGGGCACGCGGCUCCAGGCAGAUGCCAUCCUGUGAGCCAUCGGUUGUGGGCAGUGGUUGAGUCCACAGAAAGAGAAGUGAAGGAGUGAGGAGUUGAUAGGCGCAAAGACGAGCCUUGGGGAAGGCCUGGUCGGAGGGGAUGAGAUAAAGAGCAGGGGUGGGGGGAGGAGAGGGACAGAAAAAAGUGACAGGAGGAGCACACGCACGAAGCAAGAACUCCUAUUUGUGCAUCAUUUUCUCUUAUCCCUUAUCACCUACACACACACACACACACACACACACACACACACACACCAAAACCUCCGAGUCCAGUGCUGGAAGCAGGUGAGGUACGAUUAGUAACACCAGUUUCCGGAUGUGAAAACUGAAAGCAGCACAGGCUGGUGCCCCACCCCCCCAACACCGCACCACCACCCCCGCCCCGUGUGGCAGGUGGUAGCUAGCACCCUUCCCCACCCCCACCUCCCACCGUCCGGGAGCUUGUAUCCCUCACGCAAGCCACCACGGGAGAGGAAGCAAGGGGGCCACCUGUCACAUGUGCCCUUGAUCCAAGCAGGAGGCACAUCUGGGCCAUGGAAGGAGCAGGCCCGGUGGGAGUGGGGCUCCAAAUGGAGGUGUGGGUCGGGUGAGGAGUGGUGGGGGGGGGGGGGUACGGAGCAGGUGGAGGAAGCCAGCAUACACCCUAGUUGGAGAAACUGGUUCUGGGGAAGGAGAAGCAGGGGGCCCUGGGAGGGGGUUGUGCCCUCUCUCUCUCCCCCUGGUCUCUCCCUCCUCUGGCAUUUAUGGUCUGCCCGCCCCUCACUGUCUCCCCGCCUGCACCACCCCCUUCUCAUUCCCCCCUGUCUGUCUGUCUCUCCCCUUUCUCAUGGCUUCCUCUCUAUUUUCAGGGCCCAUUCUGUCUCCAUGUUUCCUCUUCCCCGACUCAACUAUUCUGUACCUGGAAAUCUAAAACAUAUCUGGCAUGAGGUUUGCUUACUGAAUAAAGUUUUAUGCUACUUGUUUUCAUUUGAAAAGCAGGAGGGCAGAAACGUUUUCUUCCCUUCUCUUUGAAGACGAAAAA